rnacentral:tRNA from 1 species
AGUCCUGUUUAUGUAGGUUUAAAUCCUGUCUCUAUU